rnacentral:rRNA from 1 species
AAUGAACGCUGGCGGCGCGCCUAAUACAUGCAAGUCGAGCGAGAAGACGUAGCAAUACGUUUGUAAAGCGGCGAACGGGUGAGGAAUACAUGGGUAACCUACCCUCGAGUGGGGAAUAACUAGCCGAAAGGUUAGCUAAUACCGCGUACGCUCCUUGGACUUCGGUUCAGGGAGGAAAGCGAUACCGUGGGUAUCGCGCUCUUGGUUGGGCUCAUGUCCUAUCAGCUUGGUUGGUGAGGUAACGGCUCACCAAGGCUUCGACGGGUAGCUGGUCUGAGAGGACGAUCAGCCACACUGGCACUGCGACACGGGCCAGACUCCUACGGGAGGCAGCAGUAAGGAUAUUGCNCAAUGGGCGAAAGCCUGACGCAGCGACGCCGCGUGGGGGAU